UGGCCCCAGGUCAGGCAGGAUUACCCGUUGAGUUUAAGCAUAUCAAUAAGCAGAGGAAAAGAAACUUAUAAGGAUUCCCUUAGUAAUAGAGAGCGAACCGGGAAUAGCUCAGCCUUAAAAUCGUCCGGCUUCGUCGUUCGAAUUGUAGUCUAGAGAAGCAUCCUCAGUAGCGGACAGGGUUCAAGUCCCCUGAAGGGGGUGACAAAGAUUGUGAGAGCCUCGUUGUGCCCAGACCCUGUCAUACAAUGAGGUGAUGUUGACGAGUCAGAUUGUUUGGGAAUGCAGCCCAAAUCGGGCGGUGAAUUUCGUCCAAGGCUAACUAUGGGCGAGAGGCCGAUAGCAAAUAAGUACCGCAAGGGAAAGAUUAAAAGAACUUUGAAAAUAGAGUCAAAGAGUGAUUGAAAUUUUUAGGAGAAAAGCGAAUAGGAACCGCGAUGCACCCCAGUCGGAUGUGGAAUGACGACGACCCAGUCUGCCGAUCGACUCGGGGCAUGGACCAGCAUGGAUUGGGGGGAGUACAAAGCCCGAGCUCUCUAUACCCUCGAAGAAAUCUGUCUCCUUGAUUGUGGUAGGCAGCGUGCACCUCUAGCGUACUUCGACAUCUGCGCGCUCCAGACACUGGCCUUUUGGUUCUCCAUUCGACCCAUCUUUAAACACAGACCAAAGAAUCUGACAUAUGUGCGAGUCAACGAGUGAGUAAACCCAUAAGGCUUAAGGAAGCUAAUUGGUAGGAUCCCCCUAAGGGGUGCACCACCGAUCGACCUUGAUCUUAUGAGAAGGGUUUGAGUGUGAGAAUAGUUUUUGUGACCCAAAAGAUGGUGAACUAUUCCUGAGCGAAGCGAAGCUAGAGAAAGCUCUGGUGAAGGCUUGCAGUGAUACUGACGUGAAAAUCAUUCUUCUUAAUUAGGUAUAGGGGUGAAAGACUAAUCAAGUCGUCUAGUAGUAGGUCCCCUCCAAAGUAUCCCUCGGGAUAGCAGGAGCUCGGGUGCGAGUUCUAUUGGGUAAAGGCAAUUAUUAGAACACCCUUGACCUAUUCUCAAACUUUUCAUAGGUAGGAUGGUGUGACUGCUUUGUAGAGCUGCGCUACAAAAUCAAGAGCUAUAAGUGGGCCAUUUUUUAUAAGCAGAAUUGGCGAUGCAGGAUAAAUCGGAGGCCGAGUUACGAUGCCAAACUAUGCGCUAACCUAGAUCCCACAAAGGGUGUUGGUAGAUUAAGACAGCAGGGCGGUGGUCAUGGAAGUUGAAAUAUGCUAAGGAAUGUGUAAGAACUCACCUGCUGAAUUAAAUCACCCCAAAAAUGGAUGGCGCUUAUGCGCACGACCUACAACCAACCGUCGGGGCAAGUGCUAGGCCCCGAUGAGUAAUAGGCAUGGCGGUCGCUGCAAAACCUUGGCUGCAAACUUGGGUGGAGUGACCGUCGGUGCAUAUCUUAGUGGUAGUAUCAAAUAUUUAAAUGAGAACUUUAAGGCUGAAGAGGGAAAGGCUCCAUGUGAACGGCACUUGCACAUGGGUUAGUCGAUCCUAAGGGUCGGGGGAACCCCAACAAAUAGCAUAUUUUGCACAUAGUCUAAAAGAAAAUUAGGUUAAAAGUACAAAACUGGGACGUGGCAGUCGACGGAAAUGUUAGAAAGUUUGAAGAUGUCGGCAGGAGCCUCGAGAAGAGUUAUUUUUUUUGUUUAACAGCCUGGCCACACUGGAAUCGGCUCUGCCAGAGGUAGGGUAUAGUUGCUGAAAGAGAACCACACAUCGCGUGGUGUCAAAUGUACACUCGGAGGCCCUUGAUAAUAUGGAGGACCGAAUGACAUCUACUCUAGGUCAUACUUAUAAUCACAUUCGGUCUCCAAGGUGAACAGCCUCUGUUAAAUGGAACAAUGUAGGCAAGGGAAGUCGGCAAAAUGGAUCCGUAACUUCAGGAAAAGGAUUUUCUCUAAGGUAUGGGCACGGGGGUCCCAGUCCCAAACCCAUCGACUAUCGAUGGACUGCUUGAGCUACUCUCGUGGUGAGAGCGGGUCGUUGUAUGCCGGUCGAGGGAUGAACUCAAAAUGGUUCCUUCGAGGGCCUUCCCCACGUGUCAAAUAACGAACUCAAAAAUGGUACGCAAAAGGAAAAUCCAACUGUUUAAUUAAAAAAAAGCAUUGCGAUGGUACCAACGGAUGUUCACACAAUGUGAUUUCUUCCUAGUACUUUGAAUAUCAUAGUGAAGAAAUUCAACCAAGCGCAGGUAAAUGGCGGGAGUAACUAUGACUUUCUUAAGGUAGCCAAAUACCUCAUCAUCUAAUUAGUGACGCUUAUGAAUGGAUUAACGAGAUGGCCACUGUCCUUGUCUACUAUCCAGUGAAACUACAACCAAAUAAAUGGGCUUGGCAGAAUUAGCGGGGAAAGAAGACCCUUUUGAUUUUGGCUCUAGUCCGAAUUUUUGAAAAUACUUGAGAGGUAUAGUACAAGUAGGACCCGAAAGGGGAAAGUGAAAUACCACUACUUUUAAUGUUAUAUUACUUUUUUCGUAAAUCGAAAGUGAGGCACUACCUUUUUUUGGGCAUAAGGCUCGCUCUACAGGCUGAUUCCAGCGGAAGACAUUGUUAUGUGGGGAGUUAGGCUGGGGCAGUAUAUCUGUUAAAAUAUAACACAGGUGUCCUAAGAUAAUCUCAACGAGAACAAAAAGCUCGUAUGGAACAAAACGGUAAAAGAUCGUUUGAUUCUGAUUUGUAGUACAAAUACAAUUAGUGGAACCAUAUCCUAACUACCUUUAGACCUUUGAAAUUUGAAGCUAGAGGUGUCAAAAAAUUUACCACAGGGAUAACUGGCUUGUGGUAGCCAAACGUUCACAGCGAUGUUGCUUUUUGAUCCUUCGAUGUAGGCUCUUCCUAGCAUUGGGAAGCAAAAUUCACCAAGUUUUGGAUUGUUCACCCACCAAUAGGGAAUGUGAGCUGGAUUCAGACCAUUAUCAGACAGGUGAAUUUUACCCUACUGAUGACAGUGUUGGAAUAGUCAGUCAUCCUAGUAUGAGAGGAAUCAUUGAUUCGAACAUUUGGUUAUCAUGCUUGGUUAAAAAGCCAGUGUCACGAAGCUAUCAUGUGAUGGAUUAUGAAAGAAUCCCUCUAAGUUAGAAUCUGGGCUAGAAGCAAUGCAUGCGCCCUCCAUUUGCUUGCCGACCCACAGUAGGGGCCUCGUCCCCCAAGGGCACGUGUCGUUGGGUAAGCCAUUGUGGCGAAAGGGUUGCGGUGGCUACCUUUAAGUACAAUUUUCAUCGAGCAGCGGGUAGAAUCCUUUGAAGAGUACUUAAAUAUGCAAUAGGGUAUUGUAAGUGGUAGAGUGGCCUUGCUGCCAUGAUCCAAUGAGAUUCAGCCCUUUGUCACUCCAUUUCAC